rnacentral:tRNA from 1 species
AAAUAAGAAGUAAAAAAAUUACAUUUAAUUUCGACCUAAACUCUUGGCUAUUAUAGCCCUUAUUUU